CAAGCUCCUGCUCGCUGACCUCUGAGGCGCAAUCAGUGUGUUCAAUUGUUAAACAACAGGGCGAUAGUUCAAUGGCACCCAGGCAAGAGUGAUUGCUGUUUUCACUUCACCACUUUUCUAACGUCAAGAGCUGCAGAUUUGGGGAAUCUCAAAAAGAAACAAAAACUGCUGGAGAAACUCAACAGGAUUGGAAGUACCUGUGAGUAGAUUUGAGCAGCUGAAUGGCUUUCUCCUGUUCCUGUGUAACAUACUUGAGAGAAUGAAUAGCUGGGUUAUUAACAGCCAUGAAACUGGAUCUGAUGGAGGUUCCUCCUGCCUGAGUUACAGAAAAACAAACAACACAAUGUACUCCAGGUAUCCUCUCAGUAAGAUCUCAUUAAACUGCAGUAACCCUUCCCUAUGUUUUGAAUGAUACCCGCUGCAAGAUGUAUCAACAUUGCAGCUUUAUACUUCUUCAAGUGGUAAUUGGCGAGUGUGGACUGAAUGAUCUCUUCCUAUCCCUCUGUAAAAGGCACAUGGGGCGGAAUUGCUUCCCACUGUUCCUGAGCAGCAGGCUUAAUAGACUUUCUUAAGGCCAUGAACGGAUUUGAUAACAGUGUGUUCACCAAUAGGAGAAACAUCAUGCAAAGUCAAUAAGCAAUAACUAUUAUUAUCCUGCUUUAUGACUUCUAGAAAUGUCCCCACUAGUCAUUUUAUGCAUUGUCUGUUAUUUUAUCCCUAUCUCCAUUUAUAAACAGAGUGGGGCAUGCAGUGCAGUGUACUACUAUCAUAUGCAAGCAAGAAAGUUUAAAAAGAUGGGAAGAUUUAUGGUCCAUUCCUCAGCAAUUUCAUUCCUAUCAUCCAGACUGCAUAAAUAUUCCCUUUUAUUGUGAUAUGAAAAACCAUGUAAAGAGGGUGUUAACUGAAUCUGUUUGUUCGGUGACUGUGAUUAAUUUCAGUCUCCAUUGAUUCUAAUUAUCCAAAUGGAUGGUUCUAUCUUUUAAUGAUAAAUGGACUCCUUUCGAUGUGUUAUCCCAUCAUUCCUAUCAUCCAGACUGCAUAAAUAUUCCCUUUUAUUGUGAUAUGAAAAACCAUGUAAAGAGGGUGUUAACUGAAUCUGUUUGUUCGGUGACUGUGAUUAAUUUCAGUCUCCAUUGAUUCUAAUUAUCCAAAUGGAUGGUUCUAUCUUUUAAUGAUAAAUGGACUCCUUUCGAUGUGUUAUCCCAUCAUUCCUAUCAUCCAGACUGCAUAAAUAUUCCCUUUUAUUGUGAUAUGAAAAACCAUGUAAAGAGGGUGUUAACUGAAUCUGUUUGUUCGGUGACUGUGAUUAAUUUCAGUCUCCAUUGAUUCUAAUUAUCCAAAUGGAUGGUUCUAUCUUUUAAUGAUAAAUGGACUCCUUUCGAUGUGUUAUCCCAUAGUAUGAGCGGGAACGUAACCUACAACACUAACAGGAAUCAGCAGCUCCAGAGAGAAGGGGAGCAGAGGUCAGAGUCUGAGAAAAUUAGACUCAAAUACUCCAGCAAUUGAUCAGAAUCUGAGAAUAAUAGACUGGAAUGCUGCAACAAUGGACAGGAGUUUAUCUACGUAUGUUUGGCUUCUUUCUACAUAUUAUGAUGGGAUGUCAUUACCAGGGCGGAUACAAUGCACACUUUACAUUAUUCAAAGCUUUUAUUAUCCUAUCCUUGCUGUCAUUGGUGUUCCUGGUAAGACUCACUGUUCAAUUUUUAUUUCUAUAUGCCGUGUUCAACUGUAUUGCCGUUCUUUUCAUUUACUCUACACUCUUAGCUGUCAUUCCUGCUCAUCCUCUGAGUCCAGAUAUUCCGUUUCAAAACAGUAUUAACUGCAUCAGUGAACUUGUUCAUGAACUCUCUCCCUUUUGCUACUGGCAGUGUUCUCGUGGGUCUCUAUACUGAGCCAUACCAUUUCUGCUGUGAUUUGUUGCAUUCCUAUAAUGGUUAUUUUAAUAUUGGGAGUAUGGAGGUUACUGUCUUCUGUUCUGGUUACAAAUUCCACUGACUCCAUCCCAUCGUGAUCAAUAUCUCAGGUUGAAACAGUUGAAUUACAAUGGCAGUGAUUAUUUUGGCUACGAGCUGGUCCCUAAUCAUUCCUAAUUUUAACUACUGGCAGUCUCAAAAUUUACUUUACUGACUUGUCAGACCUGCUGUUUGAACCUUGAGCUAUGAAAUACAGUAUUUAUGGUGCCAAUAAUUUUGGAGACCUGCUGCACAUAUGGGUACAGCCCGGCGCGAGAUUUACACCAUCUCUCCCAGAUUUUCAAAAGCCGGCGAGAGCUCACCAGAUGCCAUCGGAAACACAAAGAUUUCCAAGGCAUGGACCCCUCUUUCAGGGUCAUCCCAGUCCAGGGUCCCCUGCCCUUUACAAAUAAAAGAGAACUAUCCCUAGGGGUCCUGCCAGUUUCUUCCAGAUUGUUGCAGUAUCGCACUGGACAUGCCGAGGUGCCUGUCUCCACAUCUCCGGAUUCAGAGAUCUGAACCAGAAUCCCUUUUAAUCGGUGUUAUGACAUGCCAGAGACUGUUCAUGAUACGAUGGCUCAGUGAUUAGCUCUAUUACCUCAUAGCACCCGGGACCUGGGUUCAAUUCCACCUGUGUGGAGUUUGCACAUUCUCCUUGUGCCUGCAUGAGUUUCUUGUGGGUGCUCCAGUUUCAUCCCACAGUCCAAAGGUGUGCAGGUGGGUGGAUUGGCCAUGCUUUGUUGCCAGAUAUGUUCGGGGAUGUUUCAGAUUGGUGGGUUAGAAAUGGGGAAAUGCAGGAUGAAGGGAAUGUGUCAGGGUGGGAUCCUCUUUGGAGAGGUGGUGUGGACUUUUUGAUCUAGAUACCCAGUUUCCACACUGUAGGGAAUUCUAUGAUAUGAUGAGAAUAAUCUGCUGCUGACACUCCCAGGUAGAAACCUGCCUAAGUAGGCCUUGGUCAAUCCUGAACAGCUUGUAUCUGAACUCACAAAAAUCCCAAAUUUGUAAUUCCUGUGCGCACUGAACAAUAUUAAUCUCGGAUUUGGCAGUGAUUUUAUUUUAAUAUUCUCAAGUACAAAAUCACAUCUAUCCAUAAAAUGUCUCUCAGUCUGUCUAAAUUGAUUCCCAAAACACUGUCAGAUUUUCGUGCAUGAACUGAUUUCUUCCAUGCGUGUUCUCGCUCAAAUUUGUACAUGUAGAACCGCCCUAUUCCCCCUACACACACACACACACACACACACACACACACACACACACACACAUACACACACACACACACACACACAUACACACACACACACACACAAAAACUCUCACACACACACGCACACACACACACACACACACAGACACAAACAACCUCUUGUUUUGCCAUUGUGCAAUUGAGCUAUAGACACAGAUAUAAAUAUAUACAUUUACAUAAGUACACAUAUAAAUUUGUGGGGUGCCCAUUUACUGUCACUUACAGCAUGAGCUACAAUGAUCCCUCAACUCGGUAGUUGUCUAGUGCUAGUAUAGUAGCAACAUACUGGCAAAGGUUUGCAAUGCUGUCUAUGCUGGGCAGAUAGCCCAGUUUACUGAACAAUACACUAACAUAUGCUCCAUGCUCAGUUCACAUCUUGUCCCAUUUAUGGAAUCUGGGCCGGUUCUGUGAGGCAGAGUCAGAAUGUGAUGUAACGUGUCAUUUUAGUUGAUUUGGCAUUGCUUUUAUUUAAUGCUGUCAUUAUUAUGAUUGGGACCCUCUAAGGUCUCACCCAUUCGGAUGGUCCCACUCACAUCCCUUUUUUCCCCAUAUUUCCACAACAUGUUCUCAUUUAAUUAACUGUCUGUUUCUUUCUUGAAUUGGAAUCUUUCUGUUCCUCUGUACUCUCCCUUGGCUUUGAUUCUUGGCUGCCUAGUGUAUAAAAUGCUGGCAGGGCUAAGCCGAGAAACAUUAAACUGCUGUGUGUCAGUAUUGUCCUGCUGGAAGUGGUGGAAGUGACGGAAGAUGAUUAUUUGAAUGUGGAUUCUAGUGCAGUGGAAGGUGAGGACAAGGGUAUCAUUCUGCUGAAGAGAAGAGGAGGGGGUGAGAACAGAAACACAGGAGAUGGGUCAGCCCCAGCUGAAGGCUCUGUGCACUAGAAAUGGGGGAAAUUUCUCUUGGAGGGAAAAGGAGGACAUGCCCAAGGCUUCCCGCUGGAAUAUGGCAUCAUUGAACAGAAAUGACAGAAACGGAGAAACUGGGAAAAUGGAGUCACUCUCAGCUGAUCAUGUGCUCAGCCACAUGGGGAAGUUUCCCCUGAAUGAUUCAAAAGAACCAAACAUUUAAAUUGCAGGUUUUUGUCUUAUAACUGCUCUAAAGCAGGAUGUGAAAAUCGAACCACAGAAAAGUCAGAGGAUGUACAGCGACAGAAGUUUAAGUAGACAAUCCACGAUGCUCAGCGUUGAUUGUUUCUUUUCAAAAGGAUGGACUCGAUAAGAAGAAUAUCUGCCCAUAGUUCACAUAGGCUGCCAAGGAUACCAUUCAUCACAAACUAAAGUAUUUAAAUUGUUGAGAGCUAGUGUAGGCCAGAAAUGAGAUGCUUAUUCUCGGAGCCAGAAGCAAAUGAUGUGAAGCAAAAAGAAGAAUUGGAAAGAAAGAUUAAAACAUAACAAGUAGCAAGAGAUUUUCAAUGCAUACAUAAGAAACAGUUCAAGGUGAGUAUGUCACCCUUUGAAGAAAGAAGGUCACGAAAGUACAUGUGGUACAUCUGCAGGGUAUGACUGGGGAUUACAGGGGACAAGCAAAUAAUUUACACCAGUGUUUUACAUCGUUCCUCACAAGUAAAGACAUCGUAAGUGUUUCAUGAAUAAAUGGAAGAUGUUACUAGGAGAAAACCUAAAUAGUCUCAAACCAAAAGAAUACUUUUUUUGGUAAAAAUACAGGCAUUAAGGUAGACAAGUCAACAAUAACUGUUACACAGUUCUAAAAGAAGUGGCAGCAGAGUGGCUGGCAGCAGAGUUUGAAAUAUUCUAUAACUCUCUGGAUUGUAGGAAUGUUUCAGCAAGAUUGGAGAACUUCUAUUGUCGCAACUGCCUUCAAGAAGGGACCGGGACAGGAAAUAGGAACCUAUUGGCCAUUCAGUCCCUUAUUCAAGAAGGAAUUGCAGGACAUUUAGAAAAGCUUAAUGCAAUUAGAUUCAACAUUGAUUUGUGAAAAGAAAAUUAUGUUUUGCCUUGUAAAAUCAUGUAAAUUUUCCCUGGAGUUCCUUGAGAACAUAACA